UGGGGAAUAUUGCGCAAUGGGGGAAACCCUGACGCAGCAACGCCGCGUGAAGGAUGAAGGCUUUCGGGUUGUAAACUUCUAUCGACGGGGAAGAAAAAAAUGACAGUACCCGAGUAAGAAGCACCGGCUAAAUACGUGCCAGCAGCCGCGGUAAUACGUAUGGUGCAAGCGUUAUCCGGAAUUACUGGGCGUAAAGGGUGAGUAGGCGGUCAAUUAAGUCAUAUGUGAAAAUCCAGGGCUCAACCCUGGACCUGCAUAAGAAACUGGUAGACUGGAGUGCAGGAGAGGUAAGCGGAAUUCCUAGUGUAGCGGUGAAAUGCGUAGAUAUUAGGAAGAACACCAGUGGCGAAGGCGGCUUACUGGACUGUAACUGACGCUGAGUCACGAAAGCGUGGGGAGCGAACA
rnacentral:rRNA from 1 species